GAGCGGAGCGGAGCGGAGCGCGGCCAUGGUGCAGGCGGCGCGGGGGCGGCGCGUGGCGGAGCUGCUGCUGCGGGCGGGGGCGGCCCGCGGCAUCCUCUGCCUCUGCUCCCGCGCCUUCGUCGAGGAUCGAAAAUUAUAUAAACUGGGAUUAAAGGGGUUCUAUGUCAAGGAAGACAACGAUAGUACAGGAGCAUCUGAGGAAGAAAAUUACUGUCCUAAUGUGACAUUGAAGGUGGACACUAAUCAUGGUUUGGAUGAGGAAGAAGUUGAACUAGACUCGGAGGCUGAACUUAUGAAGAGUAUGGGAUUACCUCUUCAGUUUGGUGGACAGUCAGCUCACAGGGAUUUUGUGGCAACAGACAAUUAUAAGAAGAGAAAUAACAUGAAGAUCAUGAAAAAGAAGAAGAAAAAGAAAAAAGAGUUACAGCAAAAACACCAGUAUAAUAUGGAGCAGGAAAGUCAUGAAAAAGCUUGUGUUGGUCAUAACCAAUCUAUUUCUGGUGAUCCAGCACUCACUACAGAGCAAAGUGAAGAGAGGAAUAAAAUUCAGAUUAUGAGUGAAGGAAACUGUAAGAGUUCAGAAAGUCUUACGAAUGAGGUCUUCUCCGGUGAGCUUAAAGAAAAAUGGGAGAAGUACUGGAGUGAGUAUGGAGAGGGCCUUCUCUGGCAAAGUUGGCUGGAGAAGCAUGAAGAGGUCAAGUCAUCUGAGGCCACAACAACCUCUGAGCCUUGGAUUAGUCCUGAUACCAAGGAAGAGUGGGAACAGCAUUAUAGAGAACUGUACUGGUAUUACUGGGAACAGUUUCAGUACUGGACAAGUCAGGGGUGGACUACUGACAGCUCACGUGACAACAGUGUGGAAAUUAAUGGGGUUACCCAGGAAAAUGGCCCUUCAAGAAAAAUAGACUUUGUUAACCCAGAUGCUGAAUGUAGUCAAGUGCUGAACUUGGAGCUGUCUCCCUCUAACGUGAGAAGUGAGGAAACACCUACUUCAAGUGCUGAGCCCCAUAGUGAAAUAAUCUCUGGGAUCUGUAACAUAAAUCUGAAUUUGGAGGAAGUGGAGCAGAGCAGAGCAGCUCUAACAGCUGCCUGUGAUGAUCCUCAAAAGCAUAGUUCAUCUGACAGUGAAAGCCAGUGUCCUGUUUCAAGCCAAAAGGAGCCAUGUGAUGGAGGAAACAGGAAAAGGAGUACCUCUAAUGAAAAUAAAAAUAUUAACCAGUCAGGUUCACAGGGCUCAUGUCAAUCAAAGUUAAAUGACAAAGAACAGCUGCUGCCUGGUGACAAGAAUGAUGAUGAAGAGGAAGAGCCUCCUGAAAACAGACCUGCCAAACUCAAGAGAAGUCAUGAGCUGGAUGUGGAUGAGAACCCAGUGGAAGAUCCUGAGGAAACCUGUUCUAUUUUGGGUUUCAAGUGUGGCACAGGACAAAAGUAUGGUGGAAUUCCAGAUUUCACCCACCGAAGUGUGCAGUACCUGGAGAAAAAUGCAAAACUCAAGUCCAGAUUUUUGGACAUGCGUAAACCAAGAAAGAGUAAAAACACGCACAUCUUCUUUCCAGAAGAACCUGGAACAUCAUCUUGUCAGAAAAACAAAACUUUGAAGAAGGUAGAGGAGUUCCUAAAGCAGGUUAAUAAACCUGUGGAGGAAAUUACAUCCCAGAAUUCCAUUCCUGAGGAUAAAGUAGAGGGAUCCUCUACAAGCAGCGACUUUGAAGAUCAGGAAAGUGUUACUGCACAAAGUGUAAAAUCAAAUGAUGAAAACCAUGGGCCGCAGUCUUCCAGUGUGCUUGCUUGUGAACUUGGAAUGAAUAACCUUCAAGAGGAAAUAAAAGAAGCAACAGCAAGUGGCUCUGAUUCUCAGGGUGUGGGAAGGCAGGAAUGUGAUUCUGGAAGACAGUUGAUCUCGCUGGAUAUUCCAGAUUAUCUUCGGGUAGAAACAGAAGAUACGGGCCAAGUUGUAGGUAAAACAAAGACUGCAGAGAAGAAACAGAAAAAUAAAAGGAGAAGGAACAGAAUUGCACCAGGAAAUAUACCUGCUGAGAUUGCUGCUGAUCCUGAGUUGGCCAAGUACUGGGCACAACGUUACAGACUUUUCUCACGGUUUGAUGAAGGAAUUAAACUAGAUAGAGAGGGUUGGUUUUCUGUUACUCCUGAGAAAAUAGCUGAGCAUAUUGCAGUGCGUGUCAGUCAGUCGUUCAACUGUGACAUAAUAGUGGAUGCAUUUUGUGGAGUUGGAGGAAAUGCUAUUCAAUUUGCUUUGACCUCAAAAAGAGUGAUCGCUAUUGAUAUUGAUCCUGAGAAACUCAGUCUUGCACGUAACAAUGCAGAAGUGUAUGGUGUGGCAGAUCAAAUAGAAUUCAUAUGUGGAGACUUCAUGGUGCUGGCUUCUGAUAUAAAAGCAGAUGUUGUGUUUCUCAGCCCUCCAUGGGGAGGGCCUGACUACGCCACUGCUGAAAUCUUCGAUAUUCAAACUAUGAUUUGCCCUGAUGGAUUUGAAAUUUUCAGGCUCUCCAAGAAGAUCACCAACAAUAUUGUGUAUUUCCUACCUCGGAAUGCUGACAUUGACCAGCAGGGAACCUGAAGACAGGGGUGUUGAACCGUCCCCAACAUCCUUGCCCUUCUCAGCUGGUUCUUUCCUGCCAGAUGAAGGAAAAGAAAAGAGAUUUCUCCACGCGAUCCUACGUUUGGGUCUUAAUGCUUCAGCAAAAUGUGACCAAAGCCUUCUGUGAGUGACUGAGAAGCAAGGUUGCUUCCUUAGCAGGACCAGGAGGGAAAGUUGAAAUAGAACAAAAUUUUCUCAAUAAUAAACUGAAGACAAUAACUGCAUAUUUUG